rnacentral:rRNA from 6 species
UGGUCCCACCUGACCCCAUGCCGAACUCAGAAGUGAAACGCCGUAGCGCCGAUGGUAGUGUGGGGUCUCCCCAUGCGAGAGUAGGACACUGCCAGGCA